GGAUUUAAAUAGUAAAAAUCAUAUGAAAACGUAGAAAUAGAGGACGGGUCUUUCAUAGCUGAUGGCACAAGCAGAACAUGGAUUGAUGGUUUAUAUAUAGGAUGUGUAAGAAGAAAUUUCAUGGUUUAUGCUAUUUUUAAUUCAAAUUAGUUGAUAUGAGGAAACAGACAUCCUCACAAGAUGGAAGCACAGAU